AACGAACGCUGGCGGCAUGCCUAACACAUGCAAGUCGAACGAGACCUUCGGGUCUAGUUGCGCACGGGUGCGUAACGCGUGGGAACCUGCCCUUAGGUUCGGAAUAACUCCCCGAAAGGGGUGCUAAUCCCAGAUAAUGUCUUCGGACCAAAGAUUUAUCGCCUUUGGUUGGGCCCGCGUUGGAUUAGCUAGUUGGUAGGGUAAAAGCCUACCAAGGCGACGAUCCAUAGCUGGUCUGAGAGGAUGAUCAGCCACACUGGGACUGAGACACGGCCCAGACUCCUACGGGAGGCAGCAGUGGGGAAUAUUGGAAAAGGGGCGAAAGCCUGAUCCAGCAAUGCCGCGUGAGUGAUGAAGGCCUUAGGGUUGUAAAGCUCUUUUAACCGGGAUGAUAAUGACAGUACCGGGAGAAUAAGCUCCGGCUAACUCCGUG
rnacentral:rRNA from 1 species